rnacentral:lncRNA from 1 species
GAACUGGAAACCAGAAUAUUUUGUUGUGAAAAAUGGUGUGAAAUUUACCUUCUUCCACCAUUGCUCCUGACUUAUCUCCAUUUUUGGUUGCAGACUUCCUUCUCCUCCAAGCUCCUCAUGCUGAGUCAAAAUAAACAGUACAGAAUACAAAUGAUGAGACCAAACUGCAGCAACAGAUUCAAUCUGUGGAUCAGGAAAGUCACAAAGAGCAUCACGAAGGAUAUGUGCAUGAGAGGAAGAAGAAUUCUUUUGGGCAGAUAUCAAGACUAGCAAGCCAGUCUGCAUGAAGCCAGGCUUAUCCCUCUAUGUGCAAGAUCUGAGGCAUACACUGGAAGGGCCUUGGGGCACUGUGACUCACACAGCAUGCUUUUACAAUUCUGUUGCCUUAGAAGAACUGUGGUUAAAGUAGGAAAUUCCCAAUACCACUAGGGAGCCAAAUUGCAAAUUAUUUCUGAAAGGUAGGUCAUCUUUGACUCUUUUCUCAAAUCACACUCCCAGCUGUUUCCUACCCUCUGCUGGCAGCCCCUGCCAUCUUGUGUACUUCUGUCCCUUCAUCUCUGCCUUUACAGCUUGUAAUCACAGUCAGUAUCACCCCUCCUUGCGUACACAGUAAAAAUAUAUGCCACAGAAUAAAGUGUGCUAACUUCUUUCUCUUGCA